rnacentral:lncRNA from 1 species
CAAUGCGCUUUACGGAUUUUGCUUUCACGCAUGAUUUCAUCACAUUCAAGGUUCCUUUGCUUGCAGGUUUGAUUAGCUCUUCCUGUUAUCACCAGCAUCAUCAUCAUCAGGCAGAAAAAGAGAGAAAGCCAAAACCAAGAUGAAUGGUAACUACAAAUCUCUAGUUCAGAUUCAAGACAAAACUGCAGGCCAACUCACAGCCCUUGUCUAUAACGGAGCGCAAAUUCGUAAACAAACUGAAAACGUAUUUGAACUCCCUUCGGAAAUUCAAAAGAGAUCAAAUCACAAAGCCCCAUUGACUUUACCGAAAGAAAUUUGCGAACUUCCGUGUAACUGCAAUUUGUCUCACUGAGUUUCAUUUGCUUCAGGUCUGCUAUACAGGAAGAAAUUAUUGAAAGAUACGGAGCGCAAGUGACGACGAGUUUUACCUCAGGGUUCUCAGAGAAUGCAUUCACCGGAGCGGCUACGAGGAAGACGUACUCACAAC